GAUGAACGCUAGCGGCAGGCCUAACACAUGCAAGUCGAGGGGCAUCGCGGUGCAGCAAUGCACUGGCGGCGACCGGCGUACGGGUGCGUAACGCGUAUGCAACCUGCCCCGCACCGGGGGAUAGCCCGCCGAAAGGCGGAUUAAUACCCCAUGGUCCCGGGGGCCCGCAUGGGCAUCCGGGUAAAGCCUUGGCGGUGCGGGAUGGGCAUGCGUGCCAUUAGCUGGCUGGUGGGGUAACGGCCCACCAGGGCAACGAUGGCUAGGGGGUCUGAGAGGAUGGUCCCCCACACUGGUACUGAGACACGGACCAGACUCCUACGGGAGGCAGCAGUGAGGAAUAUUGGUCAAUGGGCGAAGCCUGAACCAGCCAUGCCGCGUGCGGGAUGAAGGCCCUACGGGUUGUAAACCGCUUUUCCCCGGGAAGAAUAACCCGAUGAGUCGGGGAUGCCGGUACCGGGGAUAGGAUCGGCUAACUCCGUG
rnacentral:rRNA from 1 species